GAUGAACGCUGGCGGCGUGCCUAAUACAUGCAAGUCGAGCGAACGGACGAGAAGCUUGCUUCUCUGAUGUUAGCGGCGGACGGGUGAGUAACACGUGGAUAACCUACCUAUAAGACUGGGAUAACUUCGGGAAACCGGAGCUAAUACCGGAUGAUAUUUUGAACCGCAUGGUUCAAAAGUGAAAGACGGUCUUGCUGUCACUUAUAGAUGGAUCCGCGCUGCAUUAGCUAGUUGGUACGGUAACGGCUUACCAAGGCAACGAUGCAUAGCCGACCUGAGAGGGUGAUCGGCCACACUGGAACUGAGACACGGUCCAGACUCCUACGGGAGGCAGCAGUAGGGAAUCUUCCGCAAUGGGCGAAAGCCUGACGGAGCAACGCGGCGUGAGUGAUGAAGGUCUUCGGAUCGUAAAACUCUGUUAUUAGGGAAGAACAUAUGUGUAAGUAACUGUGCACAUCUUGACGGUACCUAAUCAGAAAGCCACGGCUAACUACGUG
rnacentral:rRNA from 1 species